rnacentral:rRNA from 1 species
UGACACUGAGGAACGAAAGCAUGGGUAGCGAAGAGGAUUAGAUACCCUCGUAGUCCAUGCCGUAAACGAUGUGUGUUAGACGUUGGAAAUUUAUUUUCAGUGUCGCAGCGAAAGCGAUAAACACACCGCCUGGGGAGUACGACCGCAAGGUUAAAACUCAAAUGAAUUGACGGGGACCCGCACAAGUAGUGGAGCAUGUGGUUUAAUUCGAAGAUACGCGCAGAACCUUACCAACACUUGACAUGUUCGUCGCGACUUUAAGAGAUUAAAGUUUUCGGUUCGGCCGGACGAAACACAGGUGCUGCAUGGCUGUCGUCAGCUCGUGUCGUGAGAUGUUGGGUUAAGUCCCGCAACGAGCGCAACCCUCACUUUUAGUUGCCAUCAUUAAGUUGGGCACUCUGAAAGAACUGCCAGUGAUAAGCUGGAGGAAGGUGGGGAUGACGUCAAGUCCUCAUGGCCCUUACGUGUUGGGCUACACACGUGCUACAAUGGUAUCUACAACAGGAAGCAAGACUGCGAAGUUAAGCAAAUCCUUAAAAGAUACCUCAGUUCGGAUUGCACUCUGCAACUCGAGUGCAUGAAGCUGGAAUUACUAGUAAUCGUGGAUCAGCGUGCCACGGUGAAUGCGUUCCCGGGUCUUGUACACACCGCCCGUCACACCAUGGGAGUUGGUUCUACCUUAAGGCAAGGUUUAAAACCCUUGACCACGGUAUAGUCAGCGACUGGGGUGAAGUCGUAACAAGGUAGCCGUAGGGGAACCUGCGGCUG